GUGGGGAAUAUUGGGCAAUGGGCGCAAGCCUGACCCAGCAACGCCGCGUGAAGGAAGAAGGCUUUCGGGUUGUAAACUUCUUUGACCAGGGACGAAAAAAAUGACGGUACCUGGAAAACAAGCCACGGCUAACUACGUGCCAGCAGCCGCGGUAAUACGUAGGUGGCAAGCGUUGUCCGGAUUUACUGGGUGUAAAGGGCGUGUAGGCGGGAUUACAAGUCAGAUGUGAAAUCUCUCGGCUCAACCGAGAGCGUGCAUUUGAAACUGUAGUUCUUGAGUGAUGUAGAGGCAGGCGGAAUUCCUAGUGUAGCGGUGAAAUGCGUAGAUAUUAGGAGGAACACCAGUGGCGAAGGCGGCCUGCUGGACAUUUACUGACGCUGAGGCGCGAAAGCGUGGGGAGCAAACAGGAUUAGAAACCCCGGUAGUCC
rnacentral:rRNA from 1 species